AUACGUAGGGGGCGAGCGUUGUAAGGAAUGACUGGGCGUAAAGGGCGCGUAGGAGGCUUUGCAAGUCGGUAGUGGGAGUCAAUUUUUCAAGGAUGGAAGUGCUACAGAAACUGAGGAGCUUGAGUGCAGGAGAGGUUAUCGGAAUUCCCGGUGUAGCGGUGAAAUGCGUAGAGAUCUGGAUGAACACCGGUGGCGAAGGCGACAAUCUGGUCAGAAACGGACGCUGAGGUGCGAAAGCGUGGGGAGCAAACAAGAUUAUAUGCCCUUGUGGUCCACGCCGUAAACGAUGACGACUAGGUGUAGGGGUUAUCGACUCCCUCUGUGCCGCAGUUAACACAAUAAGUAGUACGCCUGGGGAGUACGGCCGCAAGGUUGAAACUCAAAGGAAUUGACGUUG
rnacentral:rRNA from 1 species